rnacentral:tRNA from 1 species
CCCUGUGUGGCUCAGUUGGUAGAGCAUGGUGUUUGCAAUGCCAGGGUUGUGGGUUCGAUUCCCAUGGGGG